rnacentral:lncRNA from 1 species
AACACCAUUCCCAAUAACACACAGGUAUCCUCAUUAAGGAUACCAGAAGGAAUGAGUUGAAGGGCAAAAAAUUUUCAGACUCUGGAUUAUAAAUGGUAUAUCCACAUUAGCUCCCACAUCGAGGCUGGAACAACCACACUUGUGAGAGACGCCACACUCUUACCCAAAACCUUAAGACUUUAGGUUUAUGGGUCCUCUUACUUAUAAGGUGUUCAACCUCUACUGUUUUAUCCGAGGUGGGACAUAUAAGUUACACUUGCACACAACAACAAGGAAGAGGGAAGGAACAAUAAUCGUUUACCAAGACCGAUUAAACCAAAUCGUGCAAAAUAUUGUAAAGCAUAAGGCUACCUUACAGCGAUCAAGUUCAUACAUCAAUCAAAAUGUUAAUGCUAGCCUACUAACCACUUAGAGACAGAUUUAGAUAAACUUUUAAUAUACACUUACAAAAGUCAAAUUGAUAAUGCACAAGUUGAAAUUUCUUUCAGAACCUUGAGCACCAUCUUCUAGCUUUCAUAAAAAUCUAUAAACUUCGAUAAGGGUUCUAAAACACACUGUUUUUGUAAAAUGCGGGAAUUAAAACUACAUACAAAUUUUAUAGGGAGUAUAUUAAAAACUGGAUAUUUUAUAGACUAACACAUUUGAACCUUUACUUUAUGACUCUAAAGCAAAGAAAAUUGGUAUACUUAACUCCUUUUUCUAGAGACUCUUACAAUGUAUCAAUACUGAAAUUAAAUAAGAUAGCGCAGAUACAAAGAGAUCAAAAUAAAACAUGUUCUUCAAUUUUAGACUUACAUGUGCAAUAUGAUAUUCAUUUGGCAAUAUUGCUGAUGGAAUGUUAUCAUGGAAGUCAGGGAACAGGACAACCCUCAGCGUAUACACCUGGAGCUGUAGGACAUCUAGCCAAAGGGCAGUGAUCUGCUUCAAGGCCCCACCAUGUUGGACCAAAAAUACCAUAGGAUUGAAGAGAAAAAUAAAGUACUAAACCCAUAAAAGCAACUCCAGCAUCUAAACCAGCUGAGAGAAUAUAAGUAUGUCUAGCCCACCAAACUCUGAACUUUCUAUAAACAUAGAAAUUGAAAAACAUUCCAACAAUUCCCCAAGUAAUAUAAUUCACAGAUCUCCUGGGAGGAAUAGUAGAUGCACCUACAAUGAUAAUAGGAAUGUUGAUAAGUUUAAUCCACUUGUGGUUAGGAAAUUUGAUAGAAAGAAGCCACACCGGUACAGGUGCAAUUAGGCCAAUAAGGAAAAACCAAUUCAUCCCAGGAUAAACGCCGUCAUUGGUAAACAUUCUCUUUGGCCCUACAACUCCCCAUAUAAUGGAAGCAUUGUAAAAUGCAUCAUCACCAGGACACGUCCAAGGACUACCUUUCGGCAACAACGAUUCAUCACAUAUGUUCUCUAUAGAUGUUAGAAGCCACCAUGCUGUUCCAAAGUGGACAGACAAAGAAACUACAGUGCCGACUAGCUGCACAAUAAACAUUGAUUUUGGUGGAAUUUUCAUAUAGUGGCCUAAUUUGAAGUCACCGAGAAAACCAAGUGCUUGUACCAUGCUCGUAUGGCCAUAUGUUUUGAAAGCUACAUUAGCUAGUGGCUUUCCUGGAUAGGUGAAACCAAUUACCAACUCUGUGAUCACAUUAAGACCUGUUCUUGCGCUUGUUGUUGCUUCAAUGACACCAAUUGGUAAGGUGAAAACUAAUGCAAUUGAUAGUGAUAGUAAGAUUCCCCACCAUGGAAGUUGGAGCUGCUUGCCGAAGCCUUCACAGGCUAGUAAGGCCAUCAUAACCAUUAAAAUUAAAAUGGCGACAAACCACCACUCAGGGACUUGUUCAUAGUUUUUCUUCAUAAUUCUUGUAUGGACAUCUCCAAGUUGGUUUUUUAGUGAAGUCGUUGUCUUCUUCCACAUCUGAACAAUCAUUUCUCCGUGGAAGAGGACAACGUGUGAAAUUGUCGCUGUAAGAGCUGCAAAGCUCAAUCCAUACUGGAACGCAAAUGUGACACUCAGAUAGAUCUUGCUGUAGUUGUUAUAACUUUCCAUAUCGAUGUCGAAGGUUUUAGUAUUGAGAAUCCGAGUAAUGUUGUACGUUGCACCAGUAGAGUCAAAUGUGUGAGAACUAAUGAGGGGAAACUUUUUUGCAUCAUAUACAUUGUUCCAAUAAGCAAUUGGAAUCAAAACAUACAUAUACAAUACAAAUCCAGCCAUUAUGUUGAUGAUAGCAAAGCCAGGCACAGCCAAAGGACUGCCUAAGAAGCCAGCAACAGUGUUCCAGUCGAGACCAAACGAACCAAUACCGAGGCCUUUCAUACCUGAACCAAUCUGUUGCGCAGUGAUUGAAUCUUUCCAAAUCAAACAAAAAAAAGAAACAGUUGAUAUUGCUUGAAAAAAAUAGCCCGGAACUAUGUAAUACGCAAAGCUAGCUACAAAGACUAAGAAAAAGAAUUGCAGCCUAGAAGUUCCUCCUUUAGGCCUUUUUUCUUUUUCAUGAAAUGCCCUAAAUAAAGACACUUGCACAAGGAUUUCAGGCCACCACAUGUAAGGUGAAUCAACAAGGAACCUUCUGAAAAUCCCGGCCCAUCCAUACCCAAGUAUCUGAGUCGAUAGCGCUAACAAAUAAGCCGCUAUGGGAUGGAUGUUCCUAUGAUAGAAACCCUUAACAAUUGUGAUUAUGUUAAUGGCAUAUACACCGCUAGAUCCUGAGGUAGCAAAGAUGCUGAUCAAAACAUGUUCCUUCACAGAGAAUGACCCUGGAUUCAACGAAAAAGUCAAACUUGUGAAAGGGACUUGAAUUGUUUUUAUGGGAAGUGUUGCAGCCAUAAGUUUCCCAAGUGGGAGGGUAAUAAUCUGAGCUGAGACAGAAGUGAUUUUCAAAGGGUUGGUUUUGUAUCCUAAAAAUUGGUUCAUAAAUGCAAGGAGCACACAUGAUGCUAACCCUAGAACCCAUGUCCGGAAAGUAAGUGCUGGCUGUGAAGGGUCAUCAGUGAUUGGAACUGUUAGCCUCACUUGCUCAAUAGGAGAAUCAUCAAUGCUAUAUUCAUCUGUCUCUGCAUACUCUAUGACCCUAUUUUGUGUCACUCCACCACUUGAACACUCAGCUUCCUAAUCCAUAAAACAAAGCAAAGGAGAAAAUUCAAAGGAACAAAAACACAAUCAUAAUAAACAACUUAAUUGAGUCUUUAUUAUAUAAGUGCUUAUGCAUAAGCUAUGUCUAUAACAAAGUCAAAUUAUUUUCAUAUAAGCUAUGAAGUGUUUUCAUAAGCUAUCUGAAAAAAAGCUAAAAACAACUUAUGAACAUGUCAUAAGUUGUUUCCAUAAGUUCUCUCAAACAAUCUCACAAGUGUUUAUGCCGAUAUAGAUAAGCUCAGAAAAAACUAUCCAAAGCAGCUUAUGCAUGCAUAUUAGAUUAAUGGAGUUGGGGAGUAGGUACCUUUUCAAAGGCAAGAAGAGGGGUGGUAACUGUCAUGCAAUACUCUGAAGAGAGAGGUGAUAUUAUCUUCUUCAUUGCUGCUAUAUAAACUAAGGAUUGCAGAUGUUAAUAGAGAAAAAGAGAGCUGUGAAGUUCAGUAAGAAGCAGUUAUGAACUUUAAGAUAUAUAUUUUCAUCUCAAUUCGAGCUUAGAGUUAUUAACUUCAAGCUUGUUGCAAGAACAUCGACAGAAUUUCAGUUUUAAUCAGGAGCUCAACUAGCUCUUGUGAAUUAGUGUUGAACAUGAAACAUCAAUUUCAUGAUUAGUAUUUGUAUUGGAAGGUAGUUAUGUUAGUUUGCCUCUUCGAUUAGAUGAGAUAGCGUACACUGUUACAGCUAAGCCCCACCAUAUAUCAAUAUAUACUUUAUUAUAUGAGCUUGAUGUAUCAUCAUCCCUCAAUCUCAUUGAUGCUUUUUCGUUAUGCACAGCAAAAUGUAUAGAUAAAAAGGUGAAUAGGUGGGGAUACAGCUCUAUAAUUUGCAACGAUCUACUAACAUUCCAAUAUAAUAUCAACAUUUCAUGGUCCAAAACAGAAAAAUCACAACAAAAACAAAAACAUACGACCAAAUUUAUGACUACACUCCUCAAUAAAAAAUAUGAUAUGACUGGUUGAUUUAAGGAGUAUAUAUGUUCACAAAUACCAAAAAUUGAACAUCAGACAUCUUAAAAUCCAAAUCCAAUCCACUCGGACGAACUCAUGUGUGUAAUGAUUAUUAAUUGUGUAAUGAUUAUUAAUUUAUAACAGUAACACUUCUUUUAACAAAACAUGUUCGAAUCAUUUUAUAUAUUGAGAAACUAAUUUAUCAAAAGUUUAAACCCAUUCGACAGUAACUAGGAUUCAAAUUAUUUAAGCUUUAAAAAAAAGGGGGGGCUCUAGCUAUUCUAGAAAUAACAUUUGAUGUUUAUUCAUACAUCUGAUAUACAAAAUUACAUUUUCUUAUAAGCAUAUAAAAAAAUAACAUUGAAUCGAACGCCUGGGAUAUAUUGUGAGUUGAAAUUUUUGAGUAUUCAAUCAAAUACACUGGAACCCCAAAAUUCUGGCAUCAAAGGCAGAAAAAAUAUAUGAUCUCAACGAGCCAACAGAUUUAUCAAAUUUUCUGGAAAAGUUUCAAUAAUUUAUCAUUCUACAAAGUUUUGUUUUGUAUAAAACUCAACCUGGUCCAAGACUUGACUAAUUUAUCAGUUGACUACCAGUUCAAUCUGAAGUCCCAAUCUUAUUCAACAACUAUGAUCCCUCUUGAUCAUAUGCAAUGAUCGGAUUAUUCGGAUGAAACCUCUUUCUAUAGUAAGCUGCAAGAAAACAGCAAGCUACCGAUCAAAUUGAAUCUAGACCAUAACACCAAGGAAUGCAGGCAGAACAAGUGAUAAGUGAGAAUUAGGAUUACACAGAACUACAAAACCACAAUGUGUAAUUUUUGGUGAUGCUAGAAACUCAAAACCUCAGGAUCGUUACAAGUACAACAUUAUUUUCUACUCUGCAUAGAAAACACUAAUAACAGAUGUUAUCAUCAUACAUCUAAGUCAUGUAUUACUUCAAAAACUCAUCCUCCCAACAAGUACUGCAAAAUUAAGAAGUGAAAAUGCCAAUGAUGAUUAACAACAGAAUAAUACAUCAAAUAGCCAAUCCUUGCUAUAGUCACUAGAAAUGUGCUUUCAUCCCAAAUCAAAGGUUGGUGGGAAUAAAACUUAUACGCAGAAAGCCUCUAAACUUGCCUAUAGUGACAUGGAAAUUCGUUGUGAAAAUUAUUUGAAUAUGAGAGCAUCACGUCCAGGCCCAACACCAAUGUAGUGAAUAGGGACACCAACGAGUUCUUCUAUCCUUUCCACAUACAACUGGGCAGCUCUUGGAAGGUCAGAAUAGUUUCUGAUGGAAGAAAUGUCGGUCUUCCAUCCAGGAAGUGAUUCAUAUUCCACCUAAAACAUGAAACCAUACAACCAUUAGAAAGUACAUUAUACAUUCCCGAGAAAUCAACGACACUUGUUUUUACUCAAAACCAAUGACACUUAUAAUUCUUGAAUAACCUUUUCUGUUUAUAUAUCAGUAAAAUACAUACAAACACUAGUUUAUGUAAUCAAUGACUUGAAUGAAAGUGGUGGAAAGGGAAAGAUAAUAUUUACCUUCAAUUGCUCGAGAAGACGGAGAUCUGACGGGAAUGAUUGGACUGGGGUGCCAUCAGCAUGUUUAUAGGAGACACCCAAUUGUAUUUCAUCAAGAUCAGACAAAACAUCCAACUUCGUGAGAUUCAAUGAUGAAAAACCGUUGAUCUGACAUGAGUAACUUAAGGCAACUAUAUCCAACCAACCACAUCGUCGAGGACGGCCAGUAGUCGUGCCAAACUCCUGCCCAGCAAAUCUGAGCAGAUCACCUCCUGGACCCAAAAUUUCAGUUGGAAAAGGACCAGAACCAACUCUUGUAGUGUAAGCUUUCACCUGCACAUCCAAAAUAAAUUCAUGAACCAUUCUGCCAGUGUUUAUUAAAUCUGCUUAAAUUGUUUACAUUCUCUAUGUUGGGGGGAAAAGGCACUUGAAGUUCCUGAGCUAAAAGUAAAUUUCAAAAUAAACAAUAACUUAUGAGAAGCAAGGCUUUUUCUUAGGUAUGAUAAUUCAAUAAAAAAAAAAACAGCAGUGACUCCAACAAACAGUGUAGAUAGCGUUCACUUACCACUCCUACUAAAUCACCAAUUACUCUUGGAGCAAUACCAAGACCAGUGCAUAUCCCGCCUGCUGAUGGGCUAGAAGAAGUAACAAAGGGAUAAGUGCCAAAGUCAAUGUCCAACAUGGUUGCUUGUCCUCCUUCAACCAAGACCUUCUUCUUUUGUGUGAUAGCUUCAUUCAUGACAUGCACAGUAUCGGCAAUGUAGGGUUCCAACCUUUCAGCAUAUCUCUUGUAUUUCUCAACUUCUUCCCUGAGCACGUCUGGACCAUACUUAAAAUCUUUGAACCUCAAUGCUGCAUCUGAUAACAAAAGAUCAAGCUUCUGAGGUAAAGUCUCCAUGUACCGCAAAUCACCAACUCUAAUCCCAUUACGGUUAGCUUUGCUGGAGUAGCACGGUCCAAUGCCCCUCUUGGUGGUGCCAAUGAAAGAUUUAGAAAGCUCAGCUUCUCUCAGACCAUCCACUGUUUGGUGGAAAUCAAACAAUAGGUGGGCUCUAUCAGAUAUCAAUAUCCUUCCCUUGCAAGAGACCCCAUUUGACUCCAAGUUAUCAAUUUCUUGAAACAGCCCCGGCAGGUGUACUACAACACCAUUCCCAAUAACACACAGUGUAUCCUCAUUAAGGAUACCAGAAGGAACAAGAUGAAGGGCAAACUUUUUCCCCUCAGCAUUAUAAAUGGUAUGCCCAGCAUUAGCUCCACCCUGAAAAAAUAUCAUCACAAAUCAUCAGUGCAAAAUAACAUGAAUAAAGGAGUGUUAGAUAAUAAUGUCAAGGAAGAGGGUGGGACUAAAAAAAUCACACACCAACACCAAAUGAAACCAAAUCUUGCAAAAU